CCUACGGGUGGCAGCAGUGAGGAAUAUUGGUCAAUGGCCGCGAGCCUGAACCAGCCAAGUAGCGUGAAGGAAGACGGCCCUAUGGUUUGUAAACUUCUUUUAUAAGGGAAUAAAGGUAGCCACGUGUGUCUUUUUGCAUGUACCUUAUGAAUAAGGAUCGGCUAACUCCGUGCCAGCAGCCGCGGUAAUACGGAGGAUUCGAGCGUUAUCCGGAUUUAUUGGGUUUAAAGGGUGCGUAGGUGGUUUGUUAAGUCAGUGGUGAAAGUUUGGGGCUCAACCGUAAAAUUGCCAUUGAUACUGGCAGUCUUGAGUACAGUUGAGGUAGGCGGAAUUCGUGGUGUAGCGGUGAAAUGCAUAGAUAUCACGCAGAACUCCGAUUGCGAAGGCAGCUUACUAAACUACAACUGACAUUGAUGCACGAAAGUGUGGGGAUCAAACAGGAUUAGAUACCCUAGUAGUC
rnacentral:rRNA from 1 species